ensembl:snRNA
GUGUUGUAUGAAAGGAGAGAAGGUUAGCACCUCCCCUUGACAAGGAUGGAAGAGGCCCUCGGGCCUAACAACACGCAUACAGUUAAAAUUUAACAUGGGAAAAUGUGUGUAACAAGUAUAAUAG